CCUGCCGUUGCCGGCGACCGGCGCACGGGUGAGUAACACGUAUGCAACCUGCCCGUGGCAGGGGGAUAAGCGGGGGAAACCCCGUCUAAUACCGCGUAACGCGGCCUUGGGGCAUCCCAAGGCCGCCAAAGGGAGCAAUCCCGGCCACGGAUGGGCAUGCGGCGCAUUAGCUAGUCGGCGGGGUAACGGCCCACCGAGGCGACGAUGCGUAGGGGUUCUGGGAGGAAGGCCCCCCACACUGGUACUGAGACACGGACCAGACUCCUACGGAAGGCAGCAG
rnacentral:rRNA from 1 species